rnacentral:rRNA from 1 species
AAAGGAAUUGACGGGUCUCCGCACAAGCAGCGGAGCGUGUGGUUUAAUUCGAUGAUACACGAAGAACCUUACCAGGGCUUGACAUGCAAGUGGUAGGAAACCGAAAGGAGACCGACCCUUCGGGGAGCUUGCACAGGUGCUGCAUGGCUGUCGUCAGCUCGUGUCGUGAGAUGUUCGGUUAAGUCCGCUAACGAGCGCAACCCUCGCUGCGUGUUACAAGUGUCACGCGGGACCGCCGGUAUUAAGCCGGAGGAAGGUGGGGAUGACGUCAAGUCAGCAUGGCCUUUAUGUCCUGGGCUACACACACGCUACAAUGGCCAGCACAGUAGGUUGCGAAACCGCGAGGUGGAGCCAAUCCCUAAAGUUGGCCUCAGUUCAGAUUGUAGGCUGCAACCCGCCUGCAUGAAGAUGGAGUUGCUAGUAAACGCAGGUCAGCUACACUGCGUUGAAUACGUUCCCGGAGAUU